rnacentral:rRNA from 1 species
CUAAGCAUAUCAAUAAGCGGAGGAAAAGAAACCAACAGGGAUUGCCUUAGUAACGGCGAGUGAAGCGGCAACAGCUCAAAUUUGAAAUCUGGCCCUUGGGUCCGAAUUGUAAUUUGUAGAGGAUGAUUUUGGUGCGGUAUCUUCCGAGUUCCUUGGAACAGGACGCCUUAGAGGGUGAGAGCCCCGUACGGUUGAAUGCCUAGCCUCUGUAAAUCUCCUUCGACGAGUCGAGUAGUUUGGGAAUGCUGCUCUAAAUGGGAGGUAAAUUUCUUCUAAAGCUAAAUAUUGGCCAGAGACCGAUAGCGCACAAGUAGAGUGAUCGAAAGAUGAAAAGCACUUUGAAAAGAGGGUUAAAUAGCACGUGAAAUUGUUGAAAGGGAAGGAUUUGUGACCAGACUUUUUCUGGGCGGAUCAUCCGGGGUUCUCUCCGGUGCACUUCGCCCAGUAAAGGCCAGCAUCGGUUUUCGGCGUGGGAUAAAAGCAGUAGGAAUGUGGCUCUCUACGGGGAGUGUUAUAGCCUAUUGUAUAAUACCGCGCUGGGGACCGAGGUUCGCGCUUCUGCAAGGAUGCUGGCGUAAUGGUUAUCAAUCACCCGUCUUGAAACACGGACCAAGGAGUCGAACAUUUGUGCGAGUGUUUGGGUGUUAAACCCUCACGCGUAAUGAAAGUGAACGGAGGUGAGAGCCCUUACGGGUGCAUCAUCGACCGAUCCUGAAGUUUUCGGAUGGAUUUGAGUAAGAGCAUAACUGUUCGGACCCGAAAGAUGGUGAACUAUGCGUGGAUAGGGUGAAGCCAGAGGAAACUCUGGUGGAGGCUCGCAGCGGUUCUGACGUGCAAAUCGAUCGUCAAAUCUGCGCAUGGGGGCGAAAGACUAAUCGAACCAUCUAGUAGCUGGUUACC